rnacentral:rRNA from 1 species
ACCUAAUAGAUACCCGGGUAGUCCACGCCCUAAACGAUGCGAACUGGAUGUUGGGUACAUUACGGUACUCAGUGUCGAAAGCUAAACGCGUUAAGUUCGCCGCCUGGGGAGUACGGUCGCAAGACUGAAACUCAAAGGAAUUGACGGGGCCGGCACAAGCGGUGGAGUAUGUGGUUUAAGUUACGAUGCAACGACGAAGAACCUUACCUGGCCUUGACAUCUGUCGAAUCCUGCAGAGAUGCGGGAGGUGCCGCAAGGAACGACAAGACAGGUGCUGCAUGGCUGUCGUCAGCUCGUGUCGUGAGAUGUUGGGUUAAGUCCCGCAACGAGCGCAACCCUUGUCCCUACGUUGCCAGCACAUCAUGGUGGGAACUCUA